rnacentral:rRNA from 1 species
UUCGCAAUGCCCGAAAGGGUGACGAAGCGACGCCGCGUGCGGGAAGAAGGCCUUCGGGUUGUAAACCGCUGUCGGGAGUUAGGAAAUGCAAGGAUGUUAAUAGCGUCUUUGCUUGACUAAGGCUCCGGAGGAAGCCACGGCUAACUCUGUGCCAGCAGCCGCGGUAAUACAGAGGCGGCAAGCGUUGUUCGGAAUUAUUGGGCGUAAAGAGCACGUAGGCGGCCGUGUAAGUCGGUUGUGAAAGCCUUCCGCUCAACGGGAGAACGGCAUCCGAUACUGCAUGGCUCGAGUGCGGGAGGGGAGAGUGGAACUUCUGGUGGAGCGGUGAAAUGCGUAGAUAUCAGAAGGAACACCGGCGGCGAAGGCGACUCUCUGGCCCGUAACUGACGCUGAGUGUGCGAAAGCUAGGGGAUCAAACGGGAUUAGAUACCCCGGUAGUCCUAGCCGUAAACGAUGGGCACUAAGUAGAGGGGUUUU